CUAAGGCGAGGCCGACAGGCGUAGUCGAUGGACAACCAGUUGAUAUUCUGGUACCCGGAUGGAAGCGCCCGUGGUGAAUCAGUGAUACUAACCGCCCUGAAGCCUGAUGGCAGUCUUUUGGAUUGUUGUUGGUGUGGAUGCGUGGGAUCUGAUCUGGUAGUAGCCAAGCGAUGGUGUGACACAGGAAGGUAGCCGAGCCACUGAGUGGAUUGUGGUGUAAGCGUGUAGCCCGCAUGGUAGGUAAAUCCGCUGUGCAUGGUGGGUGAGGCGUGAUGCGUACCCCUUUGUUGGGGGAUGUUGGUGAUCCUAUGCUGUCGAGAAAAGCAUCUAGCGAUGUUUCCAUCUGGCCCGUACCCCAAACCGACACAGGUGGUCAGGUAGAGAAUACUAAGGCGAUCGGGUGAACUGUGGUUAAGGAACUCGGCAAAAUGCCCCCGUAACUUCGGGAGAAGGGGGACCACUGCUGGUGACAGACUGGUUUUGAGCUGGUGGUGGUCGCAGAGAAUAGAGGGAAGCGACUGUUUACUAAAAACACAGGUCCAUGCGAAGACGAUAAGUCGAUGUAUAUGGACUGACGCCUGCCCGGUGCUGGAAGGUUAAGAGGACCUGUUAGUCACUUUGGUGGCGAAGCGGAGAAUUUAAGCCCCAGUAAACGGCGGUGGUAACUAUAACCAUCCUAAGGUAGCGAAAUUCCUUGUCGGGUAAGUUCCGACCUGCACGAAUGGCGUAACGACUUCCCUGCUGUCUCAACCACAGGCCCGGCGAAAUUGCAGUACGAGUAAAGAUGCUCGUUACGCGCGGCAGGACGAAAAGACCCCGGGACCUUCACUAUAGCUUGGUAUUGAUAUUCGGUUCGGUUUGUGUAGGAUAGGUGGGAGACUGUGAUCACAUGACGCCAGUUGUGUGGGAGUCGUUGUUGAAAUACCACUCUGGUCGUAUUGGAUAUCUUAACCUCGGCCCAUGAUCUGGGUUAGGGACAGUGCCUGGUGGGUAGUUUAACUGGGGCGGUUGCCUCCUAAAGAGUAACGGAGGCGCCCAAAGGUUUCCUCAGCCUGGUUGGCAAUCAGGUGGUGAGUGUAAGUGCACAAGGGAGCUUGACUGUGAGACUGACAGGUCGAGCAGGUACGAAAGUAGGGACUAGUGAUCCGGCACUGGCUUGUGGAAGCGGUGUCGCUCAACGGAUAAAAGGUACCCCGGGGAUAACAGGCUGAUCUUCCCCAAGAGUCCAUAUCGACGGGAUGGUUUGGCACCUCGAUGUCGGCUCGUCGCAUCCUGGGGCUGGAGUAGGUCCCAAGGGUUGGGCUGUUCGCCCAUUAAAGCGGCACGCGAGCUGGGUUUAGAACGUCGUGAGACAGUUCGGUCUCUAUCCGCCGCGCGCGUAGAAACUUGAGAAAGGCUGUCCCUAGUACGAGAGGACCGGGACGGACGUACCUCUAGUGUGCCAGUUGUCACGCCCGUGGCAUGGCUGGUUGGCUACGUACGGAAGGGAUAACCGCUGAAAGCAUCUAAGCGGGAAGCCUGUUUCGAGAUAAGGUUUCGUGAUCAGGUGCCCUCUAGACUAGGGGGUUGAUAGGCCAGAGCUGGAAGCGUAGUAAUGCGUGUUGAGGUGACUGGUACUAAUGCGCCGAACACACCCAA
rnacentral:rRNA from 1 species